GUGAACGCUGGCGGUAGGCCUAACACAUGCAAGUCGAACGGCAGCACAGAGGAGCUUGCUCCUUGGGUGGCGAGUGGCGGACGGGUGAGGAAUACAUCGGAAUCUACUCUUUCGUGGGGGAUAACGUAGGGAAACAUACGCUAAUACCGCAUACGACCUUCGGGUGAAAGCAGGGGAGCGCAAGACCUUGCGCGAUUGAAUGAGCCGAUGUCGGAUUAGCUAGUUGGCGGGGUAAAGGCCCACCAAGGCGACGAUCCGUAGCUGGUCUGAGAGGAUGAUCAGCCACACUGGAACUGAGACACGGUCCAGACUCCUACGGGAGGCAGCAGUGGGGAAUAUUGGACAAUGGGCGCAAGCCUGAUCCAGCCAUACCGCGUGGGUGAAGAAGGCCUUCGGGUUGUAAAGCCCUUUUGUUGGGAAAGAAAAGCACACGGUUAAUACCCGAGUGUUCUGACGGUACCCAAAGAAUAAGCACCGGCUAACUUCGUGCCAGCAGCCGCCGUAA
rnacentral:rRNA from 1 species